AUACUUACCUGGCAGGGGAGAUACCAUGAUCACGAAGGUGGUUUUCCCAGGGUGAGGCUCAUCCAUUGCACUGCGGGUGUGCUGACCCCUGCGAUUUCCCCAAAUGCGGGAAACUCAACUGCAUAAUUUGUGGUAGUGGGGGACUGCGUUCGCGCUCUCCCCUG
rnacentral:snRNA from 1 species